rnacentral:rRNA from 1 species
AUUGAACGCUGGCGGCAUGCCUUACACAUGCAAGUCGAACGGUAACAGGUCUUCGGAUGCUGACGAGUGGCGAACGGGUGAGUAAUACAUCGGAACGUGCCCGAUCGUGGGGGAUAACGGAGCGAAAGCUUUGCUAAUACCGCAUACGAUCUACGGAUGAAAGCAGGGGACCGCAAGGCCUUGCGCGGACGGAGCGGCCGAUGGCAGAUUAGGUAGUUGGUGGGAUAAAAGCUUACCAAGCCGACGAUCUGUAGCUGGUCUGAGAGGACGACCAGCCACACUGGGACUGAGACACGGCCCAGACUCCUACGGGGGGCAGCAGUGGGGAAUCUUGCACAAUGGGCGAAAGCCUGAUGCAGCGACGCCGCGUGGGUGAUGAAGGCCUUCGGGUUGUAAAACCCUUUCGUGCGGAAAGAAUAGUCUCGUAGCGAAUAACUACGGGAUUUGACGGUACCGCAGGAAGAAGCACCGGCUAACUCCGUGCCAGCAGCCGAC